AAGUGUCAUCUGCAGUGUUACAAAAUAAUAUUGGAUUUAUAUUAAUAAGAAAAAGAACUACCAGAAGGAGAGAGUAAAGAGGAACAGACAUAUCACACCAUAAGACCGGCUUCAAAAUCUGAAUAUACAGAAUGAAUUUUGCUCACUGCAGCUCCUUGUGAAGGAACACCUUUGUUGUAUUGACAUAAAAACAACGGAAUUGUUAGGAUCUUUGAACAUGACACAACUGGCUGCAUGCGAUGGCAAUUAAAAAUGCAUACAUGUU